rnacentral:rRNA from 1 species
GACGAACGCUGGCGGUGUGCUUAACACAUGCAAGUCGAACGGUAAGGCCCUUUCGGGGGUACACGAGUGGCGAACGGGUGAGUAACACGUGAGUAACCUGCCCUCAUCUCUGGGAUAACAGUCGGAAACGGUUGCUAAUACUGGAUAUGAGCUUGCAAGGCAUCUUGUGGGUUGGAAAGAUUUUUUUUGGUUGGGGAUGGACUCGCGGCCUAUCAGCUUGUUGGUGUGGUAGUGGCUCACCAAGGCUUCGACGGGUAGCCGGCCUGAGAGGGCGACCGGCCACAUUGGGACUGAGAUACGGCCCAAACUCCUACGGGAGGCAGCAGUGGGGAAUAUUGCACAAUGGACGGAAGUCUGAUGCAGCAACGCCGCGUGCGGGAUGACGGCCUUCGGGUUGUAAACCGCUUUCAAUUGUGACGAAGCUUUUUUGUGACGGUAGCAGUAGAAGAAGCACCGGCUAACUACGUG